rnacentral:rRNA from 1 species
UGGGGGAUUUUGCACAAUGGGCGAAAGCCUGAUGCAGCGACGCCGCGUGGGGGAUGAAGGCCUUCGGGUUGUAAACUUCUUUUGCUCUGAACAAGGCAUGCCUUUGGGGUGUGUUGAGUGUAGGGGUUGAUUAGCGCCGGCUAACUACGUGCCAGCAGCCGCGGUAAUACGUAGGGCGCGAGCGUUGUCCGGAAUUAUUGGGCGUAAAGGGCUUGUAGGUGGCUGGUUGCGUCUGUCGUGAAAGCUCAUGGCUUAACUGUGGGUUUGCGGUGGGUACGGGCUGGCUUGAGGGCAGUAGGGGAGGCUGGAAUUCCUGGUUUAGCGGUGGAAUGCGCAGAUAUCAGGAGGAAUACCGGUGGCGAAGGCGGGUCUCUGGGCUGUUACUGACGCUGAGGAGCGAAAGCGUGGGAGCGAACAGG